rfam:Roseburia sp. CAG:50 genomic scaffold, scf179
CAAGUAAGACAAAUGAUCGCGGCUGCAAGUGUCGAAAGACCGCAGGUGAGGAAAGUCCGGGCUUCGCAGGGCAGGAUGCCGGAUAACAUCCGGUGGAGGUGACUCCAAGGACAGUGCAACAGAAAGAUACCGCGUUAGCAAUGAGCCAUGCGCAGCAAUUUGAGAGACCGCAUGGCGGAAACAGGAUUCUGUGUAUUGCUCAUUGUUAACGUAAGGGUGGAAUGGCAGUGUAAGAGACUACCGCCCGGCUGGUAACAGUCGGGGCACAUGUAAACCCCAUCCGAAGCAAGACCGAAACAAAGCGUUGACGUGGCCCGCCAGCUUUAGGUAGGUCGCUUGAGGUAACUGGCAACAGUUAUCCUGGAUAGAUGAUCAUUCACGACAUAACCCGGCUUAUCGUUUUGCUUGAAUU